CUGGUGGCGGCGGGGGCGGCGCUGGCGGCGAUGGCCAAAGGACCCUCGGUGGGACGGGGGGCGCUGUUGGGCACGCAGGUGCUGCUGAUGACGUCAUCGCUGGCCGGGGCAAUCCUGGCUGUGAUUGGCUGCGUGGCGGCCACCAGGGCGCGCCCGAGGGCGGAGCCAAUGCCCGUGGUGAUUUAUCAGACAGCUCUGCCCGCCCAGGGGGCGGGGCCAGCCGAGGCCACGCCCCUCGAGACGAAAUAAAGACCAAUCACAGCUGAGCGUGGAUUUGGCGCGUCUG